rnacentral:rRNA from 1 species
GAUGAACGCUGGCGGCGUGCCUAAUACAUGCAAGUCGAGCGAAUGGAUUAAGAGCUUGCUCUUAUGAAGUUAGCGGCGGACGGGUGAGUAACACGUGGGUAACCUGCCCAUAAGACUGGGAUAACUCCGGGAAACCGGGGCUAAUACCGGAUAACAUUUUGAACCGCAUGGUUCGAAAUUGAAAGGCGGCUUCGGCUGUCACUUAUGGAUGGACCCGCGUCACAUUAGCUAGUUGGUGAGGUAACGGCUCACCAAGGCAACGAUGCGUAGCCGACCUGGGCGGGUGAUCGGCCACACUGGGACUGAGCAACGGCCCAGACUCCUACGGGAGGCAGCAGUAGGGAAUCUUCCGCAAUGGACGAAAGUCUGACGGAGCAACGCCGCGUGAGUGAUGAAGGCUUUCGGGUCGUAAAACUCUGUUGUUAGGGAAGAACAAGUGCUAGUUGAAUAAGCUGGCACCUUGACGGUACCUAACCAGAAAGCCACGGCUAACUACGUGCCAGCCGCCGCAGUAA